rnacentral:lncRNA from 1 species
CCAGGACCUCCAGACACUCAGCAUGAUGGCUGCUGGUAAGCAAGACAGACAUGCAAGUAGUACCAGUGUUUGAGGACCAAAAGAAUUGUUUAGCUCAUAAGAUAGAUAUUGCCUCAGAGUAGAUGCCUAAGAAUAUACAGGUAGAAAAAUGUAUAAACAAUGUUGCAAAUAUUUCUAAACCUUCCUUGUAUCUUGACUGUGCUAAAUAUCAUUACCUGGCAAGUUCAUAAGAAGAGCGGAGUGCUACCACAAGGCAAAUAAGACAAGAUAAUUACCAGGAGGGAAAAAAACGAACAUUGUAAAUUGUGCACUAUACAGGAGUCUAAGUCAGCCAUAAUAUGUGCCUGGAGACACACUGCGGGCUAAAGGUCACGAUAAAUAGAAGGAAAUGGAGAAAUGAGAUUGACUGGGCAAGAGUGGCUCUUGAGCCAUUUGAGGGUUCAGUGUAAUCUUUGCUCCAUGGAGAGCCUGACCCACUGACCUUGAUAGAGAAGACCCACUGAGGUUCGUGGAACUCAACAUUGAGUACUCUGUCUUCCACUUGCUUCUGUAGGUGGUAAGUUGUAUCUCCUGCUUUCUUCUCUUUUUAAAUAUCAAAUGUAGAGUGCUUGCAGGCCCUGUGCUAUGUCCAGCAGAGUGUGAUGGGGUGGUUUUAUCUAUUGUUUGCCUUUCUACCU